CCGCCGCGGUAAUACAGAGGGUGCGAGCGUUAAUCGGAUUUACUGGGCGUAAAGCGUGCGUAGGCGGCUUCUUAAGUCGGAUGUGAAAUCCCUGAGCUUAACUUAGGAAUUGCAUUCGAUACUGGGAAGCUAGAGUAUGGGAGAGGAUGGUAGAAUUCCAGGUGUAGCGGUGAAAUGCGUAGAGAUCUGGAGGAAUACCGAUGGCGAAGGCAGCCAUCUGGCCUAAUACUGACGCUGAGGUACGAAAGCAUGGGGAGCAAACAGGAUUAGAUACCCCUGUAGUCCCUGUCUCUUAUACACA
rnacentral:rRNA from 1 species